GACGAACGCUGGCGGCGUGCCUAAUACAUGCAAGUCGAACGCAGUGGGGACGGGUGAGUAACACGUGGGUAACCUCCCAUCUGAGGGGAUAAACCUUGGAAACAGGUGCUAAACCGAUAUUGGUGUAUGCACCCGCGGUGCAUGAGCUCGUUGGUGAGGUAGCGGCUCACCAAGGCCACGAUGCAUAGCCGACCUGAGAGGGGGAGCGGCCACACUGGGACUGAGACACGGCCCAGACUCCGACGGGAGGCAGCAGUAGGGAAUCUGCGGCAAUGGACGAAAGUCUGACCGAGCAACGCCGCGUGAGUGAAGAAGGUUUUCGGAUCGUAAAACUCUGUUGUUAGAGAAGCGGUAGCUAAACAGAAAGCCACGGCUAACUACGUGCCAGCAGCCGCGGUAAUAC
rnacentral:rRNA from 1 species